rnacentral:ncRNA from 1 species
CCAAAUAGAGGUGAAUUUUUGUUAAUAAUUUUAUUGGGUUUACCCUUCUUCUGUAAGUUUAAAUCUAGCUAAAAAUAUAAAUUUUAUUUAAUGUAUAUAGAUUUAUAAGUUAAUCAAAAUUUAUUUAGUACAAAAAAUUUUGUAACUAGCCAACCUAGUCAAAGUAAAUAAAUGAUCCAUUAGGUGCCAGCAUUCGCGGUUAUACCUAUAUUUAUUAUAUCAUUCAAGAUUUAGGACUUUCCAAUUUAAUAUAAAGAUUUUAGGGGUAAAAUCCUGCUUAUCUUUUAAUUCAUUUAAACCUUUAAAAUUAACAUAUAAACAGGGAUUAGAUACCCCUCUAUAUAAACCACAUAAAUAUCUAGGGUAGUAAAUGCUAUGCAACCUCAAACCCAAAGAUUUUGGCGGCAAUCAACCUUUCCAGAGAGACCUGUUUAUUUAUUUGACAACCCACACUAUAUCUUACUUUUAUUAAAAUUUGCAUACCGUCAUCUAAAUUUUAUCUUAAGAUAAAUAUUUUAAAGAUAACAAAAAUGUUAGAUCAACGCGCAGUAUAUUUAAAAGCUUUUAAUGGGUCUCAAUUUAAACCAAGUAGAAAAAGUUUUAACCCCCUUUAAAAAGAGGAUUUGGAUGUAAUAAUUUUUUAAAAUAAUAUUAUGAUUAAGCCAUUGAUUGUGUACAUAUCGCCCGUCGCCCUCGACACGAGGUAAGUCGUAACAUAGUAGAAGUACUAGAAAGUGUUUCUU